rnacentral:misc_RNA from 1 species
GAGUGUGGUGUCACUCACGACCGCGACGUGAACGCGGCCAGGAACAUUCUCGCGGUCGGGCAUGGCCGUCCAGGAGUGGGAAUUCCCGCCCUUUAGGGCGGGGAGGAUGUCAAAUGUAGAAGGCC